ensembl:antisense 1700124L16Rik RIKEN cDNA 1700124L16 gene
GCCACCCGCCCACGCCUUUGGCCCCAGCCAGGACUCAAGGGAGGGACGAAGUUUGCAACCCUGGUUUAGCCUCUAUUGGAAUCACAGAGAUGUCACGGAAAGUGCAAUCGGGAAAUGGAUUGUCUCCAUCUCUGCUCAUAGAAAGCAGGGCCCAAGUGUACAGGCAGCGCGUUUGUAUAUGAAGUUGUAUUAACUAGCUCCCUCUGCAAUUCCACAUACUAAAUUAUGACGUCCUCCUCGGAGCAGCAGCAUAAUGGAGAACAGGUACGUCACACAGGUUGCCCAAAGCAGAGCAACUCCACUCUGCUUCUUUUCCUGGGAAACGGAAGGAUAGAGAGUUCCAAGGUAGCCUGGGCUACACAGCUAUAUCUUAUCUCAAAAAAGGUGCCAGAGAUGAUGGUGUGAGUCUACAGCUCUGCACUCCAGAGGUUACAUUAUUAGAACCCAGUAGACACUAGGAGGCAAAUCCUGGUUGGGAGAAGUGUACCCUGCCCUGUGCUUUUGGAGGAUAUGUGUGUCCUGGGAAAACCGAAGGAGAGAGGGUAUACUACGAUCUUCAGCGGUACAAAAUAGAGAUUCUCAGGGGCUGGAGGGAUGGCCCAGAAGUUAAAGGUACUUGCCUAUCUUUCAGAGGGGCUAGGUUAGGUUGCCAGCACCCAACAUUAUUUUAUUUAAAUCCAAAAAAUAAUAACUCUGAGUCGGAGUUUGGAGAGGUGCAAAGCGACCCAGAAGUGAAAUGUUGUGUCUUAGCUAAAGGUGAACUAUUUCCAACAGAUGUUACUAUUAUUUAUCCCAUGAUAUAAAGACGCCUGCAGGAAGAAGGGAAGCCAAGAUGGUCAGCUACGGGGAAGCUCAUCCACGGAGGGAAAGCUCAAUCGCUGACCAUCUCGGCAAUCGUCAGUUUCCGCAGGAUGUUUGAAAGCUCCCACCCCUUGCUGCCGCCUCUGCUCUCCACCAUGCUUCAGCCACCUGUCGCCCCGCCCAUCGCCUCUGACGUGUUUUGAAUCCCGGAUUUGAUAGAUGUCUGUCUGCUGCUUUUGUCUGUCUGUCAUUUGCUGCUUACUCUUUCGCUUGCUAUAUAAUGAAUAAACUCACAUAUUGGAAACUAAA